rnacentral:rRNA from 1 species
ACGCUAGCUACAGGCUUAACACAUGCAAGUCGAGGGGAAACGGCAUUUAGUGCUUGCACUUUUUGGACGUCGACCGGCGCACGGGUGAGUAACGCGUAUCCAACCUUCCCAUGACUAAGGGAUAACCUGCCGAAAGGCAGACUAAUACCUUAUGGUCUUCACUGACGGCAUCAGAUGUGAAGUAAAGAUUUAUCGGUUACGGAUGGGGAUGCGUCUGAUUAGCUUGUUGGCGGGGUAACGGCCCACCAAGGCAACGAUCAGUAGGGGUUCUGAGAGGAAGGUCCCCCACAUUGGAACUGAGACACGGUCCAAACUCCUACGGGAGGCAGCAGUGAGGAAUAUUGGUCAAUGGGCGAGAGCCUGAACCAGCCAAGUAGCGUGCAGGAUGACGGCCCUAUGGGUUGUAAACUGCUUUUGUAUGGGGAUAAAGUCAAUCACGUGUGAUUGUUUGCAGGUACCAUACGAAUAAGGACCGGCUAAUUCCGUGCCAGCAGCCGCGGUAAUACGGAAGGUCCGGGCGUUAUCCGGAUUUAUUGGGUUUAAAGGGAGCGUAGGCUGGAGAUUAAGUGUGUUGUGAAAUGUAGACGCUCAACGUCUGACUUGCAGCGCAUACUGGUUUCCUUGAGUACGCACAACGUUGGCGGAAUUCGUCGUGUAGCGGUGAAAUGCUUAGAUAUGACGAAGAACUCCGAUUGCGAAGGCAGCUGACGGGAGCGCAACUGACGCUGAAGCUCGAAGGUGCGGGUAUCGAACAGGAUUAGAUACCCUGGUAGUCCGCACAGUAAACGAUGGAUGCCCGCUGUUGGUACCUGGUAUCAGCGGCUAAGCGAAAGCAUUAAGCAUCCCACCUGGGGAGUACGCCGGCAACGGUGAAACUCAAAGGAAUUGACGGGGGCCCGCACAAGCGGAG